UCUCUUAGGCCUAUUUUACAGAAGGAAAAGCUGAGUGAACACAAAGAAAUUGCUCAGAACCAGACAUGGCUGGGGCUGCCUUGGGGUGGUUUUUGUGCUGAAUCACGGGCCUGACUGCUGCCCCAGAGCAAAGGAGAACCGUCUCCUGUGGUCGGUGGAGUUUCACUGCUUCCUCUUCUGACUUUUUCCACUCGGACUGAUCCUCGUCCUUGCCUGGCCACUUCUGCGUGUCCCACAGAGGCGGAACUUUGGGCCAGGUGGGCCCAGGGGGAGAGACCAGAAGGACAGAACAGCCGCUUAGACGGGCUUUCCAGGUGCACUGCCGUAUUUGGUAUACAAAUAACACCUCACGUCUGUGGUGAUGGGUCCUUAGGAAUAGACAGAGAAAUCGCCUUGGAAUUUGGUGACUUCAGGACAUGGCUUUGUUUUAAAAAAUUCAUUUCCAGACCUCAGCCGACAAUUUUUCCCAGCAAGAGGCUGAAGAACACAGAACUGCUUCCGGCCAUCUGGUUUCCUUCAGUCCAAAGGCGUAUGGGCGCAGUCCUUUCUAUGCUUGUGUAACCAAGUGGAAAUCCCUAGGGAGUAUCUAAACUCAAGCUUCUGCCACGUAGGGAAGGAACCUGCCAUACUAUGAAUUCCUUAUCCGCAGCCGACUUGACAUUUUUCACAGUGAACACUGUGUUCAGUAGCCUCACAGCGCACCUAAUUUGUGUUGCAUUUUGAAUAUUCUUGAAAAUGUCCAUAUAAUGAGAGGAAAACAAUAUGUGUCUAAGC
rnacentral:lncRNA from 1 species